rnacentral:rRNA from 1 species
UACGUAGGGUGCGAGCGUUAAUCGGAAUUACUGGGCGUAAAGCGUGCGCAGGCGGUUCGUUGUGUCUGAUGUGAAAGCCCCGGGCUCAACCUGGGAAUGGCAUUGGAAACUGGCGAGCUAGAGUGUGGCAGAGGGGGGUGGAAUUCCACGUGUAGCAGUGAAAUGCGUAGAUAUGUGGAGGAACACCGAUGGCGAAGGCAGCCCCCUGGGUUAACACUGACGCUCAUGCACGAAAGCGUGGGGAGCAAACAGG